GAUGAACGCUAGCGACAGGCCUAACACAUGCAAGUCGAGGGGCAGCACAUGAGUAGCAAUACGAUGGUGGCGACCGGCGCACGAGUGAGUAACACGUAUGCAACCUACCGGUAAAAGGGGGAUAGCCUCUCGAAAGAGAGAUUAAUACCGCAUAAUAUCUCUGGAUGGCAUCAUUUAGAGAUUAAACAUUUAUGGUUUACCGAUGGGCAUGCGUAUGAUUAGCUAGUAGGUGAGGUAACGGCUCACCUAGGCAACGAUCAUUAGGGGUUCUGAGAGGAAGGUCCCCCACACUGGUACUGAGACACGGACCAGACUCCUACGGGAGGCAGCAGCGAGGAAUAUUGGUCAAUGGGCGAGAGCCUGAACCAGCCAAGUCGCGUGAAGGAUGAAGGUUCUAUGGAUUGUAAACUUCUUUUGUAAGGGAAUAAAAAGAGCUACGUGUAGUUUAUUGUAUGUACUUUACGAAUAAGGAUCGGCUAACUCCGUGCCAGCCGCCGCAGUAA
rnacentral:rRNA from 1 species